CCUACGGGUGGCAGCAGUGAGGAAUAUUGGUCAAUGGACGAGAGUCUGAACCAGCCAAGUAGCGUGAAGGAUGACUGCCCUAUGGGUUGUAAACUUCUUUUACGAGGGAAGAGCAGAAGACGGUACCUCUUGAAUAAGCAACGGCUAACUACGUGCCAGCAGCCGCGGUAAUACGUAGGUGGCAAGCGGUGUCCGGAUGUACUGGGUGGAAAGGGCGGGCAGCCGGGAAGACAAGUCAGAGGGGACAUCCCGCGGCUCCCCCGCGGAACUGCAUUGGAAACGGUUUUUCUUGAGGACCGGAGAGGUCAUCGGAUUUCCUUGUGUAGCGGUGAAAUGCGUAGUUAUACGGAAGGA
rnacentral:rRNA from 1 species